UAAUUCAACUCCUUUGUAGCUGUCCAUGUGCCUUCAUUCUUCAAUUUCUGAUGCAUUUGCCUUGUAUUCCAUCCUUUUUCCACAUGUACUAGCUGUUAGACAACUUUCACACACAUAUUUUGCAUCAUUUCAUCUUGCAAACAUCAACUUUCGGCCGCUUUACACCUCUACACACAUGCUAUGCAUCAUUUCAGCUUACAAUUAUGUUUGUAGUUGCUGAAAAUGUGAAUACAACCUGUAAAGCAAUCCAACAAAUGGCAUCUUUCA
rnacentral:lncRNA from 1 species